rfam:Populus trichocarpa scaffold_10_contig_130, whole genome shotgun sequence.
UCUAGAACUCGAGAUAUGGGUUGAACACUGAACAGUAUCUGGGUUGCAAGACAGAUUAUGACUUCUCUUUUGUUGCUACAAUUUGAACUAGAAAACAGCUAUUUUGAAUCUUAGACUCUUCAUGAAAGUUUUAGGCCUAUGUCUUAGCUUUUCAUC